rnacentral:misc_RNA from 1 species
UGGUAGUAGAAACGCGUGAAAAUACAGCUCGCCGUUUCCAUGAUUUCCAGCGUGAUUCUCGCGGAGCGGCAAUCGCUUUAAUGAUCUCACGGUACGCCAUUAACUAAGCGUUCUGAAGGGCCAGCUUCCUAGACGAGCCAACGUCCCUUGAUGGCGUCCUGUGACACAACGUGCGAGCCCUUUUCAACGCUCCAACCUUCCAUAAAGUCCCCCUCGGUCCUGUUACAUGCAUACGCACACAUAGUGAUGCCGCAGUCGAUGCUGCAAGACAGGUGAACCUUCCAUGCCGUGAAGUACAAACUGAAAAUCAGAUUCCGCAAGGAAGAACGGCUACCAUUUUGACAUUUGAUCUCUGCACCGCGGUUGCAGGAUUUCUAUUUUCUUGCCUCACGGAAGCUCGCGAGGGCUUUCAGGUUUUAACGGUUUUGCACACGGAGGGUUGAAGAUCCCGGACGUCGUGCUUUACGAAAGAGAAAGAGAGAGAACAAUGGAGAAAAGGAGAAAACAGCGGGCAAGGCAUCCCUACGUUUU